CGCAGACUAUGAAGAGGGGAAGGGAGAGGUGUGGGGAGCUCUGCUUCAGCUGUGGGGCCUCAGGAGGCAGGACUCAGGGAUGACCUCCACCAUGGCCUGGGCCCCUCUCCUCCUCACCCUCCUGGCUCACUGCACAGGAUCCUGGGCCCAGUCUGUGCUGACUCAGCCUUCCUCAGUGUCGGGGUCCCUGGGCCAGAGGGUCACCAUCUCCUGCACUGGAAGCAGCACCAACGUUGGGUAUGGUGACUAUGUGUCCUGGUACCAACAGCUCCCAGGAAAGGUCCCCAAACUCCUCAUCUAUCAGAGUAGCAAACGACCCACAGGGAUUCCGGACCGAUUCUCUGGCUCCAGGUCUGGCAGCUCAGCCUCCCUGACCAUCUCGGGGCUGCAGGCUGAGGACGAGGCCGACUAUUACUGCGAGUCCUAUGAAAACAGUCCUGCUGGUACCCACAGUGCUGCAGGCCUGUGGGGAAGUGAGACAAAAACCCCUCUGGUCUGCGAGGGGGUGAGCUCUCCAGCAGCUGCCUGUUCAGCUCAGCCUAUGACCUGUGGCUUCUGCUUAUUCCCUUGCUGA